CACUGUGUCGCUUCGACUGUUCAGCCAAUUAUUUCCCUUUCCGUCUCGCACACACAAAUGAGUUAUCGGCUCCAAAGCAGCACCAUCAUCAACACCCGUCUCCGCUUCACCACCUUUCCCAAACACUCCUUCUCCAUUCCGCCCCGCUUCCCUCCGGCUCCCAGGGCUUGGUUUCGCUGUUGUAGGAACCAAAUCGGAAUGGACGGAGAUGAUGUUUCCAAGGCUUGUGAGGCGGUGAUCGGCGACUCUGAGCUGCUGGACCAGAAAAUCGCUGCGAUUCGAAGCGCGGGUCCCCAAAAACUCCAGGUAAUUGUAGAUUUUGAUCGCACGUUAACAAAGUAUUCAAUCGAUGGCCGACAGGGGCAAAGCAGUCAUGGCCUUUUGCAACAGGGGAAUCCGGAAUAUGAUGCCAAGAGGCAGCAAUUAUAUGAAUACUAUCAUCCGUUAGAGUUCUCCGCAACAAUUCCAAUAGAAGAGAAGACGAGGCUCAUGGAGGAGUGGUGGGGAAAAACUCAUGCGCUUCUUAUUGAGGGAGGCCUUACAUAUGGUGCAAUAAAGCAAUCCGUUGCUAAUGCCAGAAUUGCUUUUAGAGAGGGUGUCGUUGAACUGUUUGAGUUUUUGGAGGAAAGAAACAUUCCUGUUCUUAUAUUUUCUGCAGGGCUUGCUGAUAUCAUAGAGGAGGUCCUGAGACAGAAACUUCACAGAUCUUUUAAAAAUGUUAAGAUUGUCUCAAACCAAAUGAUAUUUGACAGCAACGGUUUCCUUGUCUCUUUUAAAGGGAAGACGAUCCAUAGCCUUAAUAAAAAUGAGCAUGCUCUUGACAUGGCUGCUCCUUUGCAUGACCGAUUGGGUGAUAUCGAUGGGCCAACUGACAACAGUGCCUCAGUGAAGAAGAGGACCAACGUGCUGCUUCUUGGUGAUCACAUUGGGGACUUGGGAAUGUCUGAUGGUCUGAACUACGAGACUCGAAUAUCUGUGGGUUUUCUGAAUGACAAUAUUGAGAACUCUCUUGAUGGCUACAGAAAAGCCUUUGAUAUUGUUUACCUGAAUGACGCAGCCAUGUGGGGAGUAGUCAAGCUUGUUUCUCAGCUAUGUCCAGCAGGAGGUGAUUAACCUCUCGGAUUUGUUUAUUUGGAGGUGAUUGAUUACUAUAUGCAAAUUCACUGGAGGAAGCCUUCCUUCAUAGGAGAAGCUAUGCUAACAUGGGUUGUUAGAUGGCGGAACGUAUGAGAUCGAAGGCUUGAGGGGAUUUGGCUAGGAUGGUCUUUGAGGAGUCAAACCCCGAGUUGAAUCAAAUUUUGUGGUUGGAUCAUGUUCAUCCCUUUCAUGAUUCGAUAUUAGGUCAAGGAUAUGAGCCUCUUUGAUGACUUUAGUUUGAUUUUGUUAUGGUUUGACAAGGUUUAGGUUUUAAGGAUUUGGAGACAAUUUUCUUUUGUAUUGUUUUAAGAUACU